UACGUAGGGGGCCAGCGUUGUUCGGAAUUACUGGGUGUAAAGGGUUCGUAGGCGGUGUGGCAAGGUUGGGAGUGAAAUCUCUGGGCUCAACCCAGAGACGGCUUCCAAAACUGCCGUGCUUGAGUGUGGGAGAGGCUCGUGGAAUUGCAGGUGUAGCGGUGAAAUGCGCAGAUAUCGGGAAGAACGACCCGUGGCGAAGGCGGUUCUCUGGGACGGUACUGACGCUGAGACGCGAAAGCGUGGGGAGCGAACAGG
rnacentral:rRNA from 1 species